rnacentral:rRNA from 29 species
UAUAAUGACUCUCGGCAACGGAUAUCUAGGCUCUUGCAUCGAUGAAGAACGUAGCGAAAUGCGAUACUUGGUGUGAAUUGCAGAAUCCCGUGAACCAUCGAGUCUUUGAACGCAAGUUGCGCCCGAUGCCAUUAGGUUGAGGGCACGUCUGCCUGGGUGUCACAU